rnacentral:rRNA from 1 species
GACGAACGCUGGCGGCGUGCCUAAUACAUGCAAGUCGAACGAGAGCGACCGGUGCUUGCACUGGUCAAUCUAGUGGCGAACGGGUGAGUAACACGUGGGUAACCUGCCCAUCAGAGGGGGAUAACAUCCGGAAACGGAUGCUAAAACCGCAUAGGUCUUCGAACCGCAUGGUUUGAAGAGGAAAAGAGGCGCAAGCUUCUGCUGAUGGAUGGACCCGCGGUGCAUUAGCUAGUUGGUGAGGUAACGGCUCACCAAGGCCGUGAUGCAUAGCCGACCUGAGAGGGUGAUCGGCCACAUUGGGACUGAGACACGGCCCAAACUCCUACGGGCGGCAGCAGUAGGGAAUCUUCCGCAAUGGACGCAAGUCUGACGGAGCAACGCCGCGUGAGUGAAGAAGGUUUUCGGAUCGUAAAACUCUGUUGUUAGAGAAGAACAAGUGCUAGAGUAACUGUUAGCGCCUUGACGGUAUCUAACCAGAAAGCCACGGCUAACUACGUG